rnacentral:rRNA from 1 species
UGGGGAAUUUUGGACAAUGGGCGAAAGCCUGAUCCAGCAAUGCCGCGUGUGUGAAGAAGGCCUUCGGGUUGUAAAGCACUUUUGUCCGGAAAGAAAUCCUUGGCUCUAAUACAGUCGGGGGAUGACGGUACCGGAAGAAUAAGCACCGGCUAACUACGUGCCAGCAGCCGCGGUAAUACGUAGGGUGCAAGCGUUAAUCGGAAUUACUGGGCGUAAAGCGUGCGCAGGCGGUUUGCUAAGACCGAUGUGAAAUCCCCGGGCUCAACCUGGGAACUGCAUUGGUGACUGGCAGGCUAGAGUAUGGCAGAGGGGGGUAGAAUUCCACGUGUAGCAGUGAAAUGCGUAGAGAUGUGGAGGAAUACCGAUGGCGAAAGCAGCCCCCUGGGCAAUACUGACGCUCAUGCACGAAAGCGUGGGGAGCAAACAGGAUUAGAUACCCUGGUAGUCCACGCCCUAAACGAUGUCAACUAGUUGUUGGGGAUUCAUUUCCUAGUAACGUAGCUAACGCGUGAAGUUGACCGCCUGGGGAGUACGGUCGCAAGAUUAAAACUCAAAGGAAUUGACGGGGUCAUAGCUGUUUCCU